rnacentral:rRNA from 1 species
AUUGAACGCUGGCGGCAGGCCUAACACAUGCAAGUCGAGCGGAGCGGCGGACGGGUGCGUAAUGGUUAUGAAUCUGCCUGGUCGUGGGGGAUAACGUUCGGUAACGGGCGCUAUUACCGCAUCCUCUCACAUGCGCCUAGGUCGGAUUAGCUAGUUGGUGGGGUAAAGGCCUACCCAGGCGACGAUCCGUAACUGGUCUGAGAGGAUGAUCAGUCACACUGGAACUGAGACACGGUCCAGACUCCUACGGGAGGCAGCAGUGGGGAAUAUUGGACAAUGGGCGAAAGCCUGAUCCAGCCAUGCCGCGUGUGUGAAGAAGGUCUUCGGAUUGUAAAGCACUUUAAGUUGGGAGGCGUUACCAACAGAAUAAGCACCGGCUAACUUCGUGCCAGCAGCCGCGGUAAUUC